rnacentral:misc_RNA from 1 species
GAACGCACCUUGCGCUCCUUGGUAUUCCGAGGAGCAUGCCUGUUUGAGUGUCAUUAAUAUAUCAACCUCUUUAAAUUUUGAGAGUGUUUGGAUGUGGGGGGUGUUAUUUUGCUGGCCUUUCUCCAAGGUCAGCUCCCCUGAAAUGUAUUAGCGGAACAAUUUGUUGACCGUUCAUUGGUGUGAUAGCAUAUCUACGCUAUUGACGUGAAGCAAGUUCAGCUCAUAACAGUCCAUUGACUUGGACAAUUCUCUAUUUAUUAAUGUGACCUCAAAUCAGGUAGGACUACCCGCUGAACUUAAG